rnacentral:rRNA from 1 species
UUGGGCAAUGCCCGCAAGGGUGACCCAGCAACGCCGCGUGGAGGAUGAAUGUCGUAAGAUUGUAAACUCCUGUUAGAGGGGAAGAAUAGUACCGGUUGGACCGGUAUAUGACUGUACCCUCAGAGAAAGCCCCGGCUAACUACGUGCCAGCAGCCGCGGUAAUACGUAGGGGGCAAGCGUUGUCCGGAUUUACUGGGUGUAAAGGGCGCGCAGGCGGGAUAAAAAGUCAGUGGUGAAAUCCUACAGCUUAACUGUAGAACUCCAUUUGAUACUUUUACUCUUGCGUUCGGGAGAGAGAGACGGAAUUCCAGGUGUAGUGGUGAAAUACGUAGAUAUCAGGAAGAACACCAGUUGCCAAGGCGGUCUCUUGGUCCGACACUGAC